CCUACGGGAGGCAGCAGUGAGGAAUAUUGGUCAAUGGGCGCGAGCCUGAACCCGCCAAGUAGCGUGAAGGAUGACUGCCCUACUGGUUGUAAACUUCUUUUAUAAAGGAAUAAAGUGAGGCACGUUUGCCUUUUUGUAUGUACUUUAUGAAUAAGGAUCGGCUAACUCCGUUCCAGCAGCCGCGGUAAUACGGAGGAUCCGAGCGUUAUCCGUAUUUAUUGGGUUUAAAGGGAGCGUAGAUGGGUGGUUAAGUCAGUUGUGAAAGUUUGCGGCUCAACCGUAAAAUUGCAAUUGAUACUGGAAGCGUGGAGUACAGUUGAGGUAGGCGGAAUUCGUGGUGUAGCGGUGAAAUGAUUAGAUAUCACGAAGAACUCCGAGUGCGAAGGCAGCUUACUAAACUGCAACUGACAGUGAUGCUCGAAAGUGUGGGUAUCAAACAGGAUUAGAUACCCCAGUAGUC
rnacentral:rRNA from 1 species